rnacentral:rRNA from 1 species
GACGAACGCUGGCGGCGUGCCUAAUACAUGCAAGUAGAACGCACAGUUUAUACCGUAGCUUGCUACACCAUAGACUGUGAGUUGCGAACGGGUGAGUAACGCGUAGGUAACCUGCCUGGUAGCGGGGGAUAACUAUUGGAAACGAUAGCUAAUACCGCAUAAUAUUGAUUAUUGCAUGAUAACUGAUUGAAAGAUGCUAUUGCAUCACUACCAGAUGGACCUGCGUUGUAUUAGCUAGUAGGUGAGGUAACGGCUCACCUAGGCGACGAUACAUAGCCGACCUGAGAGGGUGAUCGGCCACACUGGGACUGAGACACGGCCCAGACUCCUACGGGAGGCAGCAGUAGGGAAUCUUCGGCAAUGGACGAAAGUCUGACCGAGCAACGCCGCGUGAGUGAAGAAGGUUUUCGGAUCGUAAAGCUCUGUUGUAAGAGAAGAACGGGUGUGAGAGUGGAAAGUUCACACUGUGACGGUAUCUUACCAGAAAGGGACGGCUAACUACGUG